rnacentral:snoRNA from 1 species
CUACAUGAUGAUAGCGAGCGCGUAUAAUCAAUUCUUUUCACACAUCUAUUCAUUUUAUUGAUGAAAGACAUGUCAUGAUG